AGGACGAACGCUGGCGGCGUGCUUAACACAUGCAAGUCGAGCGGAAAGGCCCUUCGGGGUACUCGAGCGGCGAACGGGUGAGUAACACGUGAGCAACCUGCCCUUAGCUCCGGGAUAGCUCCGGGAAACCGGAAUUAAUACCGGAUACGACCACGGCCGACAUCUGCUGUGGUGGAAAGGAUUCCGGCUAAGGAUGGGCUCGCGGCCUAUCAGCUAGUUGGUGGAGUAACGGCCCACCAAGGCGACGACGGGUAGCCGGCCUGAGAGGGCGACCGGCCACACUGGGACUGAGACACGGCCCAGACUCCUACGGGAGGCAGCAGUGGGAAUAUUGCGCAAUGGGCGAAAGCCUGACGCAGCGACGCCGCGUGGGGAUGAAGGCCUUCGGGUUGUAAACCCUUUCAGCAGGGACGAAGCGAAAGUGACGGUACCUGCAGAAGAAGCGCCGGCUAACUACGCGCCAGCAGCCGC
rnacentral:rRNA from 1 species